rnacentral:ncRNA from 1 species
GGAUAGAGGUGCGGCUGCGAUCAGUAGCAGCUCUGAGGGCGCUCAGCCCUGCGAGGAGCUGUCAAAGGCAAGGCCGCCGAAGGGAGUUUUCCUGAGCAGAAAUCUCUCUGGUGCUUUACUGAAUAAGUAACGCACUGUCAUCAUGUGUGAUGGAGAGCUAUCGG